AGCAGCCCAGGGAGCCUCGGAAAGAUGCCCCGAGCAAGCCUUACCUGCAAAAUACAACUGAGCAAGUUAAAUUCCACUUCCCUUGAACACGGAAGCCAGCAGUGCAUUUGUCACAUGGUCACAUCAGCAGACCACAACAACAAGAGCAAUCACCUGGUGAAACAAUCCACACAGAGAUUUGGAAGGAAAAUUUCUUUCAGGUUCAGAUGAG
rnacentral:lncRNA from 1 species